rnacentral:lncRNA from 1 species
AGAAAUGCAGUUGUGUUUUUGCAGUAGAGAACCAGUUUUCUGUAUUCCAAGGUAGUUGUGUAGUCGUAAUAAGGGGAAAUGCUAAGUAGAUAAGUGGACAGUAGAAGGCCUCACUGUUCCAAAAUAAGGUAGAAACUUGAGAAAAACAGGAUGAGCAGUGUGAGAACAGUAAAACAAAGAUCACAAGUUCUCAAAACAUAAGAAAGGAGAAAUUAAAGGGUUGAAAAAAAGAAAAAUUGUACAUAUAUGGUACAGAGGAGCGUCAAGUAGCUUGUGAACAUGUAGUACUCAGCCUAUGAGGAAAAAGGGGUGGUGAUCAGGGGUUGGGUAAUAGGGAAUAAAAGAUUAUGAUUUGUUUACUAAAAUGCGCUCCUAAUUGACAGGACGCCUGCCAUUGCAAUUCCAAAUAAAAUAGCUUCACAGAAGAUCCUGUCUGAAGAAAAUUGAGAUUUUUCUCACAAUUUGGGGGCUCAUCUAGGGUCUCGUCGCCUGAUGAAGAUUUCUCACCACCACAGACAGGAAGGUGAUAAACUGAUUUCAGCAGUCCCAUCAGGGCUGGUGGGUCGUCUCAGUACAGCUGGCAAAGGACCGAGACUGUUAAUCUGAAGACAGGCUCUGCGAAGCUCUGGGGAGAAGGGAGGCCAGCACAGACAUACACAGACACAGCCCACUUAUAGUCCAGCCCAGAUCAGUAACAGGCACAGGGAUUACUGCCGAUAACUCAGACUGGGAAGCCAUGCACGGACUGAGGGGUUGUUGUCUGAAGAUUUGUUCUCACAUGAUGACUUCAAGAGACAAAGGCCUUUAUAUCCUGAAUCACAACACCAUGGUCAGACAGCAUGCAUUUUCCAUAAUCACACAGGGAGCGGGGAAGAGCCCAUCACAGAGCACACACCUACACAGAGCGCUGGAAACCCUGCAAGCAGUGCCAGAACACCACCACUUUAGCACCUUCCUCUGGUCAGCAGUGUGCAGGACAAGCCAGAAGCAGAGCAGCAGUGGGAGGCAGGUACAGCUCUGCCACAUGGGAGCACAGAUCUGGCAGGCAGCUGGGAUAUCCCCCAGCUUCAGAGGAUGAGGAGGGGUGAGCCAGAGCCUCAGCUCUCACUGGAGCUGCACCAGCACCCAUGGAGAGGGCCAUGGGUCUAUGCCUACAAAGAAAGCAAGUAGCCUCCCACUAUUUCCAGAUAAUUUAAUGCACAUCACUUAAUAGAGAUACAACUGUGUAGAUAAAAGAUAAUGACAAAAAAAAAAAAAAAAAAACAAACCACCACACUGGUAAAUUGGAAAAGCAGCUAGACUCUGCAAGCUGCCUGGCAGCUGAGCUGCCAGGUCUCACAUCCCUCAGGAGGUAGCACAAGUAAGUAAUGCAUCUGUCAGGGACAACUUUCAGAAAGGAAGUCUUGCCCACAAGAUAAGCCACAGGCUGGGAAAUCUGAGCCAAGGUUUCCUACCAGGUGAUGGCUUCAUUAACCAAUAAUUAAUAAGCUACAGAAAUGAACUGGCAGGGAUUGAAAGUCACGUAUUUAAUGGGCAAGAAGUCAAAGAAAGGACAUCACAUCCAUGAGGGGAGACUAGAGCUUUCUUCCUUUGCACAGCUGCCAUAGGCUAUUUUUCCUGUGCUGCUUUUCCACCAUCACUGAGUGGAAGUCUGCACGUCUCACCAGUUGCAAGCUUAGGCCAACAGGCCAGACAUCUCCAGAAUCAUUUCAUGUUGGCACCAGAAGAUCUCCUCCUCCUCCACUGCUCAAGGGAGAAGGGAUCCCGUUAUCAAAGCUCCAGCACCACCACUCAGGAAGCUCUGCAACACGUUGGAAGAAGAGGUGCCAAAGAUGCGGUGAAUGAGACCACAAAGAGCUGGAUGAGCUGGCCCCGACAGCAGUUAUUCCCACAGCCAAAGCUCAAGAGAGAUGGAAUACAUUAAAACCACCCACAGCUCUUGUGGGAGAACAACAAGUACCAUUGCAGACUCCGGAAUGACUGAUUCAAAACAAAUAUAUCCAUUAUCCACAUUGGGUUUGGACACGAGACCAGGCUGCAUGCUAAGGCAUUGUUUUUGGAUUUCUUAACUAUGAGUUUGGUCUGGCAGAAGCUGUCCUGUAAGGACACCUCAGCUGCAAGACAGGUAACUGUGGGUGACCACAGAAGAAUCUCAGAAAGAGACAUCCUGUGUCAGUACUCCUCGGGGCAGGCCUUGGCAGCACAGGUGUCUUUCCUCAGGCACAAGCCCCCUCUUCUCAGGAGUGGCACUGCUCAGAUGCCAUGGAGAGGGUGUUUGAUUUGUGUUGGAUUUGCUGAGCUUGCAUCCAGGUUUCUCUCCUCUUAGCAUUGCAGUCUCUAUAUACAACAGUGAAGGUGAGCAGCCCUGCAGAGCUCAGCCAAGCCCAGGUAGCAAGGGCCAGCUUUCACGCACAAAGCACGACGCUGGGGCAGGUGAAAGAGUUGCUCUUCUCAUGGAAGCAGACAUGAAGAGGCAUCUGGGCUCACAGCUUCAUUUUUCAGCACAGAACAUGGGUUAAAAUGACUUCCAGCGCCAGCUCAAGCUCAGAGAGCCGUGAGAUGUUUUGGUGGCAACCCCACGUGGCUCUGCAGUUACUCGCAGUCUCAUGGGUCAAAAGCCCUCAACAUUGCUGGCCCAGACCUCCUCCUUAACCAGAAUUACCCAGCUGAAGUUGGCAGUUAUUUCCAGAUAAGAUACCCAUCUACCCUCUGCUUACAUAAGCAAGUGCCGAUACUCCAAGUAGUCUUUUCCCUUGGCAGGAGAGAAAAAGAAGGCUUACUGUAAAUACAGAUGACUGUUUAAUUACCUUCUGAUAAAGUCUAAGUUUCAGUGUUUCUGGCUUUAAUAUAAAGUCGUACCUAUUUCAAUUCCUUCAACUCUAAUAGCUAGACCACAUCAAGUCACAAGGAAUUUGUUAGUGGUACCGUUUGAGCAGAGCUCAUUGUUUCAUGGUAUGAUAAAUUGGCAAUACAACAUGGUAAACUUAUCUGUAACUUGUUGCUAUUUGACUGGCAGCAAUAAAAAUACCCUCUGCUUUACUACACGAGUGAAACCCCGAGCAAUGCAUACUCUUUUGCUAAAGGAAAUCUGACCUGUUUAGACUUUACUGUACAAAUAUCAACUUUUUUUCUGACCCCAAAGACUUCCCUGCACACUGUCUUCAGAUAAACAUUAACAUAUGAAUUCUUACUAGAAUUUCAUUCUUAAUAUUAUAAGCAAGGUGUCUGGG